UGUUACAUCCCCCUGCAGCUAAACAAGCCCAAUCCCUCCACUAUUUCACAAGUCACAACAUCUAAGGCUUCCACUGAUUAUUACAUCACAAAUCAGUUUUGACUUGUUAGUGAAGAGGAGGUUCAGCUUAUCUGGUAGAUGGUUAAAAUCUCCCAUACAAAUGAGGAACUGUGAUCCAGAGGCUCCCUCAGGUUUUAGAGAGAUUUCAUCCACUUUCUUGCUGUGCUGGUUUGACCCCAGCUGAAGGUCAGGUGUCCACCAAAGCCACUCUAUUACUCCCUCCUCGACUGGACAGGCAGGAGUAAGAUGGCUGAGCAGCAGCACUCAUUAAAGAAGCAUGAGAUUCCCCAGGGCUAUUGAAUCAAACUUGAAAUAAAAAAUGUCUUAAUCAUCUCUUUUAA